UGGGGAAUAUUGGACAAUGGGCGCAAGCCUGAUCCAGCCAUGCCGCGUGAGUGAUGAAGGCCUUAGGGUUGUAAAGCUCUUUUGUCCGGGACGAUAAUGACGGUACCGGAAGAAUAAGCCCCGGCUAACUUCGUGCCAGCAGCCGCGGUAAUACGAAGGGGGCUAGCGUUGCUCGGAAUCACUGGGCGUAAAGGGCGCGUAGGCGGCUAUUUAAGUCGGGGGUGAAAGCCUGUGGCUCAACCACAGAAUUGCCUUCGAUACUGGAUAGCUUGAGUAUGGUAGAGGUUGGUGGAACUGCGAGUGUAGAGGUGAAAUUCGUAGAUAUUCGCAAGAACACCGGUGGCGAAGGCGGCCAACUGGACCAUUACUGACGCUGAGGCGCGAAAGCGUGGGGAGCAAACAGG
rnacentral:rRNA from 6 species